AGUUUGAACCUGGCUCAGGACGAACGCUGGCGGCGUGCUUAACACAUGCAAGUCGAGCGGAAAGGCCCUUCGGGGUACUCGAGCGGCGAACGGGUGAGUAACACGUGAGCAACCUGCCCCAAGCUUUGGGAUAACCCCGGGAAACCGGGGCUAAUACCGAAUAUUACUUCUGGCCGCAUGGCUGGGGGUGGAAAGUUUUUCGGCUUGGGAUGGGCUCGCGGCCUAUCAGCUUGUUGGUGGGGUGAUGGCCUACCAAGGCGACGACGGGUAGCCGGCCUGAGAGGGCGACCGGCCACACUGGGACUGAGACACGGCCCAGACUCCUACGGGAGGCAGCAGUGGGGAAUAUUGCACAAUGGGCGGAAGCCUGAUGCAGCGACGCCGCGUGAGGGAUGACGGCCUUCGGGUUGUAAACCUCUUUCAGCAGGGACGAAGCGAGAGUGACGGUACCUGC
rnacentral:rRNA from 1 species